UACAGAGGUGGCAAGCGUUGUUCGGAAUUACUGGGCGUAAAGGGCGAGUAGGUGGCCAUCUAAGUCAGACGUGAAAUCCCCCGGCUUAACCUGGGAACUGCGUCUGAUACUGGACGGCUUGAGUAUGGGAGAGGAACGUAGAAUUCCAGGUGUAGCGGUGAAAUGCGUAGAUAUCUGGAGGGAUACCGGUGGCGAAGGCGGCGUUCUGGACCAUUACUGACACUGAAUCGCGAAAGCUAGGGGAGCAAACGGG
rnacentral:rRNA from 1 species